AAGCAGCAGGAUUUUCAGGAAUUGGUUCACUGCAGAACAUGAGGGACACUAUAGAGAGACAUGUCCAUAAAUCAAAGGACAUCCUGUUUGAAAAGGCUAAAGAUGAAAUGUUGGAUCUGCUUAGCAGUUUGAGGACCGAGAUCUUGGAGACUCUGGAGAGUACCAUGAAAGAAUCAAUUGAGCUCUCAUUCAAGAUAGACAAGGACUCAAUUCCAGACGUUUCAGAAGAACUUACCAGGGUUCAACAACUCCAUGAAGAGUUUCUGAAAAGCAGCUGAAAAUGCUUUCUUUGAUCGCAGAACGGUCAUCAUGACAUGUGGGAUCUAGGGUUGUUCGAGAUGAGGGAGCCUUCACUGAGGAUGAAUUGUUUGCCACAAUUGUUUUUGUCACGUUUGAUUUAGAGUGAUUUACAAUCAAUUUAAGUGUGAAAAAAUGUUUAAGAAAACGAAACUGAUAAAGAAAACAUUUUUUCCUGAUGAACAUAAAUUAGUAGUAGCCUUUUUCACAUUAGAUUCUGAUUGAAAAAUGUAAUGCUGAUGAAGUGAGGGGAAAAAACUUAUGUACUAUUAUUC